rnacentral:rRNA from 1 species
AUUGAACGCUGGCGGCAGGCCUAACACAUGCAAGUCGAGCGAGGGGGGGAUGGGUGAGUAAUGUAUGGGGCUCUGCCCGAUAGAGGGGGAUAACUACUGGACACGGUGGCUAAUACCGCAUACUAUCGGAUGAACCCAUAUGGGAUUCGCUAGUAGGUGGGGUAAAGGCUCACCUAGGCGACGAUCUCUAGCUGGUCUGAGAGGAUGACCAGCCACACUGGAACUGAGACACGGCCCAGACUCCUACGGGAGGCAGCAGUGGGGAAUAUUGCACAAUGGGCGCAAGCCUGAUGCAGCCAUGCCGCGUGUAUGAAGAAGGCCUUCGGGUUGUAAAGUACUUUCAGCGGGGAGGCGUUACCCGCAGAAGAAGCACCGGCUAACUCCGUGCCAGCAGCCGCGGUAAUUC